CCAGACUCCUACGGGAGGCAGCAGUGGGGAAUAUUGCACAAUGGGGGAAACCCUGAUGCAGCGACGCCGCGUGGGCGACGAAGCGCUCCGGCGCGUAAAGCCCUGUCAGCAGGGAAGAACAAAGACAGUACCUGACUAAGAAGCCCCGGCUAACUACGUGCCAGCAGCCGCGGUAAUACGUAGGGGGCAAGCGUUAUCCGGAUUUACUGGGUGUAAAGGGAGCGUAGACGGUAUGGCAAGUCUGAUGUGAAAACCCGGGGCUCAACCCCGGGACUGCAUUGGAAACUGUCGGACUAGAGUGUCGGAGAGGCAAGUGGAAUUCGUAGUGUAGCGGUGAAAUGCGUAGAUAUUAGGAGGAACACCAGUGGCGAAGGCGGCUUACUGGACUGUAAAUGACGCUGAGGCUCGAAAGCGUGGGGAGCAAACAGGAUUAGAUACCCUGGUAGC
rnacentral:rRNA from 1 species